GGCUACUGCUAUUGGAAUUCGACUAAGCCAUGCGAGUCUAAAGGACUUCGGUCCUUGGCAGACGGCUCAGUAACACGUGGAGAACCUGCCCUCAGGAGGGGGAUAACCCCGGGAAACUGGGAAUAAUACCCCAUAGGUCUAGGAUGCUGGAAUGCUUCUAGGCUGAAAGCUCCGGCGCCUGAGGAUGGCUCUGCGGCUUAUCAGGUUGUAGUGAGGGUAACGUCCUCACUAGCCUAUGACGGGUACGGGCCCUGAGAGGGGAAGCCCGGAGAUGGACUCUGAGACACGAGUCCAGGCCCUACGGGGCGCAGCAGGCGCGAAAACUCCGCAAUGCUCGAAAGAGUGACGGGGGGAUUCCAAGUGCCUACGCUCAGCGUAGGCUGUUCAGAUGCCUAAAAAGCAUCUGGAGUAAGGGCUGGGUAAGACGGGUGCCAGCCGCCGCGGUAAUACCCGCAGCUCGAGUGGUGGCCGCUUUUAUUGGGCCUAAAGCGUCCGUAGCCGGUCUGGUAAAUGCCUGGGUAAAUCGUCUGGCUUAACCAGACGGCUCCCAGGUAGACUGCCAGACUUGGGACCGGAGGAGGGAGAGGGUACUCCAGGGGUAGGGGUGAAAUCAGCAGAGCACCACUCUGAUGAUGUGAAUUGCUCUGCAAGUCACAAUCCUGUAAUCCCUGGAGGACCACCGGUGGCGAAGGCGCUCUCCUAGGACGGGUCCGACGGUGAGGGACGAAAGCCAGGGGAGCAAACCGGAUUAGAUACCCGGGUAGUCCUGGCCGUAAACGAUGUGGACUUGGUAUUGGGGUGGCUACGAGCUGCCCCAGUGUCGUAGGGAAGCCGUUAAGUCCACCGCCUGGGGAGUACGGUCGCAAGGCUGAAACUUAAAGGAAUUGGCGGGGGAGCACUGCAACGGGAGGAGCGUGCGGUUU
rnacentral:rRNA from 1 species